rnacentral:tRNA from 1 species
GGCUCGGUAGCUUAGUGGGUAAAGCGCUCGUCUAACAAACAGGAGCCGUGGGUUUGAAUCCCACUUGAACAC